AUAAAUAAAUAAAUAAAUAAAUAAAUUACAAAAAUAAUAUGCAUAGCUAACAUUGCUGGUUUCUUUAUGGCAUCUUUUUCUGUUUAUGUCAUGUUGUUCUAGUUUUAUGACCAUAAAAUGGAGAAUGGAGACUAUUUUGGAUGAUUUUCAGCAAAGCGAGAAAAUUUACAGUGUGUUGAAGACUCUCUGUGACAUGCGAGAGCUGAAUAUUCCACUACAGAGAAUGAACAGACAACACAGUCCAACAGCGACACAAUUUCAACAUAAGGGAGCAUAAUAAAUCAUUCUCAGCCAGACCUGAGACGUGCACUGAAGUGUCGCUUCUCUCACAUUUUUUUCCUAAUGUCUUUCACAACAGGCACUUUGAUUCACUCUUUCUGAACCUCCUCUGCUUUCUCUCAGUGUGAGGUUUAGCUGGCAGCACAUGCGUUUAGUGAGUCUUUGUGUGUCACAGUUUCGCAUUUCAGUCGUCAAGUCUCCGGGCCCCACUGCCCUCCAAAACCAGAGCUCAAAGAACAACAUCAGUCCGAGCUCUGUGAUAUCUCGAUAAGAGGACAACUAAUAUAAACCACAUUGAACCGGAACCAAAAUGUGGUCCAGCGGCUCAAAGAGCAGUGACGUUUUCAGCAGCUGGCAGCAUCACAUUUGUACUAUGACCUUCUACCCAGAUAAGGAUGCACGUGGGCCACACCUAAAUGAACUCUGCUUCCUGUGGAAAGAAGCAUUUGAGAGGUCUCAACUUUUUGCCCUUCUCUCGCACUCUUGUUUUUCCUACCCUUCAGUGCUGAAGGAUCCCACCUUUGUCCACGUGAGGAGACUGUUUACGAACUGUUGUGACACCCACAGCUCUUUUGAAGGACAGCACAGAACUCUCGAUUGAAAAAUCAAAAGUGUACAGUGAGGCCAAAGCAACAGGAAGAACAACAAACUCAAGUUUCGAACAUCAAGGGCCUCUUGAAUCCAACCGAAGCCCCUCAGAGUUCAAAUAUUCCUGAACUGCUUCCUUAAUUGCACUGAACUGCUUUUUAAUGACUCGUAUUUGAAGAAAAUUCCUUAUGAGACUUUGAUCGCACUGACUGAUGUGUGCUAUGACUUUAUGCAGAUAACAUUUCCACUGGACGUGUGCCUGUGGAAAAGACGGUGCGGCGUGACAAUGGGGGCCUGCAAAAGCAAUGUUCACUCUACAUGCUGUGCGCAUUUGGUCUAUGUUCCUUGGCUUCCAGUAUCCUUGAUUGGAGGGCAGCCGAAAAGUCCAGGGUCCAACCAAACAUUUUAAGAAGAUCUAAAGCAUGCCAUCACACUGGCAGCUUUAUGAAAACUAUUUUUCUGUAUCUGCCGCACAUGUACGAAGACAUGCCACUGUAAACGCCGUGACUUGAAAUAACAGCUUCGUUCAGAGGAAACAGGAUGAUGAUAAUGUAAAUGACAGCUGUUAAGCAGACAUAUACUCAAUGUUUUGUUAGAUUAUGUAAUGUGUUACUGCUGUGAGGUCAUGGAUUCAGAAUUAUAUAAGAUGACGGUAUCAGGGUCAGUGAGAAAUCUUUUAAAAAUCACAUCAUGUUCUUAGAAAUGUACUCUGUAUUUAAGUAGUUUUUUAAAAAUGUCAUGUGGUGUAACCGAGUAAAACAUAGUAAAAUAUUUUCCUUAAACUGUUUAAAAUGUAUUUUUCGGUUUUUAUUGUUUUUUAUAUUUUUUUCCUGAUUUCUUUUUAUUUAUUUUUUUGGAAGUUGCACCAAAAAAAAAAAAAAAAAAUACAUAUAUCAUAUAUAAAUAUUAUAUAACACUUUUUUUUCUGCAUGACGGUUGCACCAUAUAACUUUGAUUUGGCAAAAUUAUUUUUAUUUAUUUUUUUAUAUGUCAAAGCAGGUCAAUUUAAUAAUUGUAUCUUAGACAUAAUCAUAAAAUGUUAUGCAAAUAGUUGAAUAGUUUCAUUCAAUUAAUGAGAGUUUUUUCUUCAUUGUGAAAUCAGGACAGUUGUAUCACCCUGACAUAUUUGUAUUUUUAAUUUUUUUUAAUUUUAAUUUUUUUGACUUCAUACCUCCAAAAAUAUAACAAUAAAUUUUUAUUCAGAAAUGUUCAUAUUACUAGAGUUGUAUUCAAAUCAUUAAAUGCAUUAUUUGCAUUUUAAUGUAUUUUAUUAUUAAAUCCAUUGAUUUAUUGAUCACAUUGAUCAUCAUUUUCCUCGCGCAAGAUAAUCAGGUGAUUAUUGUUGCUUUGUGGUUUAAACAAGAGGAUCUUAUUCAAGGGGGUGUUUUUAUCAGUCGCUCUGGGAGAGCGGUGUCUUAUGUAAUGUCAGAAACUCAAUGUAUACCUCAUGGCGGGAUAAGGAACAGGGCACUUUUCAUUCAGCGAUCACUGUUGUUCAUCACUGGUCCUUCAGUGGGUAUUUGUGGUAUCCCAGCAUAAAUUAGCUAUGAUCUCACUGCAUGCAAUUCAAUGCUGGGGUUUGAUGCUCUGUUACAACAUUUUCGAAAUUUCGGCACACUGACCAACCUGGUCUACAUUUACAGCCCAAAGGCAAGAUAACAUUUCAUAUACAUUUGUUCAAGAGACAAAACACCAUGGUACUGUAAGUCACAAAAGAAACCCAAAUAUUGCGAGGAACUUAAAUACAUUAUUGCGUAAUGGCCUUUAAUCCGCUGUGCAUUGCUGUUGGGGCCUGGCCAGUCCGGGGCAGCCAUAAUGGCUCCUGCAGACUCCGCUAUAAACUGUAAGCUGGAGCACGCCAAACUUCUGGAGCUCUAGCUGACCAUAAAACCCACCGGACCGGCAGCACAUUGGCCUGUCAAAAAGGCAUAAAUGACGAAAGAAUGAGAGAUGGAAAUGAUGGUAAGGUAAAGAUGUGAAAGGCAACAAAGAGUUUCAACUGAUUUUCAACGUACGACGCCAAAUAAAAUCAAACAUUAUACAGGUCAAAGUCCACAGCCAUACGUUUUCUCUCAAGACUGACGUAUGUAGAUCUCAUUACUUCAAAAGGCACGGAUGCCUGGUCUAUACUACCCAAUACCCCCAUAAAUCAAGUGUGAACUCAUCCCUGGAGAGACGUUUCAACUUGGCACUGAUCUGCUAGCUUCUCUUACACAAAUCGUGACCUUAAAGAAACAGUUCAUCCAAAAAUGAACAUUCUGUCAUCAUUUACUCAACCUUAUGUCGUUCCAAACCUAAAUUAUUUUUUUCUUCUGUGGAACAUAAAAGAAGAUAUUGUACAGAACUGUUUUGUCCAUAUAAUUAUCCAUAUAAUGUUAUAGAAAUCCAUGUAUCUCCACAGCGAUUGAAGCUUGGCAUAAGGCUACUGGAAAAAAUAUACGAAGCAUAAGAUAAUUUCAUGUACACUAUCUUCUAUCUGGCAAGCCUAACCCUCUUAAUUCAAAACAAAUGCUUCUUUAGAUCCUGGCACCAGAAAGGAGUCACGCAUCUUAAAAACAUUAUGUAUGAUCCUAACAGCUCCAAGAAGAAUCUAAAAAAGACUUGACCAUGAUCUCUAAACUACGGAGUCCCGCACAUGGCAUGCAGGAAAAAAAAAUAGUAGGCUAAAUCAUGUGCACGAUUUACUAUUCCGUUCCCUCUAUUUAUAAAUUGUGCGCAUGAUUUACUAAUUUGUUCACUUGAUUUGCUAAAUCGUGAAGAUGAUUUAUAAAUUGAGGGAAUGAAUUAGUAAAUUGUGCGCACAAUUUAGCAAAUUGAGGGAACGAAUUAGUAAAUUGUGCUCACGAUUUAGCAAAUAGAGGGAACAAAAUAGUAAUCGUGUGCACGUUUUAGCACAUUGAGGAAAUGAAUUAGAAAAUCGUGCACACAAUUUAUUUAUUUUUUCUUGAAUAUCAUGUGCAGGGCUCCGUACCAAACACCUUUUGUUUCUAUUCACUAUUAAAUCGAGACAUGAAUGAAUUCAUUACAAAACAUCACACAUUUACAACUGAGAGGCUGCAUGUAAUUGAUAAUUAGCAUGCUAAGCUAAGCUAAUCAUCAUUUAAGUUACAUCAAUUACCCAGGCUCGUUGGAAGUACGUGCCGGUGCCACCAUUUUUGCAAAAUUAUAUUAUGUUGCUUUUUGCACUCAUUUAAAGUUAAAUAUGCAGUAAGCGGAUCUUAAAACAUUCAGUUUUAUCCAAAACAGAUGAAUGUGAACCUGGUCAAAUUUAAACAUUAUGUUGUUGUUGUUGUGAAAUGUCCGGUGAGUGGUGCUAAAAGGUAAUUCUGUAUCGCGUUUGCAAAUUAUGUACCUACUGUACAGACACUAAACCUAACCCUAAACCUAACCCUAAACCUAACUGAUAAGAUUAACGUGAGAUAAAAAUGCAUUUACCGAAGCAACCAUGCCAUUUCUGAGCUUUCAGCUCACUUCUUCUUAAGUCUUUUAGCUCUUUUAUGUUUCACAAGGCUUUAAUUGAGCACAAUGCAUUUCACAUCAGGUGAGCUAACGAGCAAGUUUACUGUGCCAGAACAGUCAUACGAAUGGAG
ensembl:lncRNA